GACGAACGCUGGCGGCGUGCUUAACACAUGCAAGUCGAACGAUGAAGCCGGAGCUUGCUCUGGUGAAUUAGUGGCGAACGGGUGAGUAACACGUGAGUAACCUGCCCUUGACUCUGGGAUAACUGCUAGAAAUGGUAGCUAAUACCGGAUACGACCCUCGGAGGCAUCUCCAGGGGGUGGAAAGAAUUUCGGUCAAGGAUGGACUCGCGGCCUAUCAGCUAGUUGGUGAGGUAAUGGCUCACCAAGGCGACGACGGGUAGCCGGCCUGAGAGGGUGACCGGCCACCCUGGGACUGAGACACGGCCCAGACUCCUACGGGAGGCAGCAGUGGGGAAUAUUGCACAAUGGGCGCAAGCCUGAUGCAGCAACGCCGCGUGAGGGACGACGGCCUUCGGGUUGUAAACCUCUUUCAGCAGGGAAGAAGCGAAAGUGACGGUACCUGCAGAAGAAGCACCGGCUAACUACGUGCCAGCCGCCGCGGUAA
rnacentral:rRNA from 1 species